AUUCUUCUAGUAUUAAAAAGUACUGCUGACUUCCAAUCAGCCAGUCUCAGUAACAAACCUGAGGAAGAGUA
rnacentral:tRNA from 1 species